CAGCAAUGAUGCUUAUUUGAAUUUCUUCAACCGAAUUUCUUUGUAGAAAAUUGACUCCUGAGCUGA